rnacentral:rRNA from 1 species
AUUGAACGCUGGCGGCAGGCCUAACACAUGCAAGUCGAACGGUAACAGGAAGAAGCUUGCUUCUUUGCUGACGAGUGGCGGACGGGUGAGUCAUGUCUGGGAAACUGCCUGAUGGAGGGGGAUAACUACUGGAAACGGUAGCUAAUACCGCAUAACGUCGCAAGACCAAAGAGGGGGACUUUCGGGCCUCUUGCCAUCGGAUGUGCCCAGAUGGGAUUAGCUAGUAGGUGGGGUAACGGCUCACCUAGGCAACGAUCCCUAGCUGGUCUGAGAGGGUGACCGGCCACACUGGAACUGAGACACGGUCCAGACUCCUACGGGAGGCAGCAGUGGGGAAUAUUGCGCAAUGGGCGCAAGCCUGAUGCAGCCAUGCCGCGUGUAUGAAGAAGGCCUUCGGGUUGUAAAGUACUUUCAGCGGGGAGGAAGGAAGUAAAGUUAAUACCUUUACUCAUUGACGUUACCCGCAGAGAAAGCACCGGCUAACUACGUG